rnacentral:lncRNA from 1 species
AAACAUUAAAACAAAAGACACGGCUCCUCCUCUGCAGAACUCUCUCCUCAGAAGCCAGUACGUAUAGCAGCUCAAAACCAAGUCAGUAUUUCCACAGACCCAGCGACCUAUGCCUGUCUGAGGAGGGAGGCCUCUUCAUGCACAGCCCCUACCAGGACGCAGUCUUCUGGAGGUGUAUCGGCAGCAGAUCCCAUACGAUUCUCUAUGUGGUCAUGUAUUUUAAGGACUCAUUUUUCCAUUGUAAUCACUUCUAGGGUAUGAGUCUACGUUUCAAAGACUGUGAACCUUUGUAGCUCCAAGGCAGCUUAGCAAAAAGCACCAAAGAAACUGAGGAAAAAGCUGGCUUUUGCAAUCUCGCCUGUUUUUCUUUUUUUUUCAUUAUAAAUGGAAAGCAAACGAACAAGUAGAACCUUCUCCCCAACCCCCCAAAAAGUCACCUGUUGAAACAAAGGAUCUCAGAAGUGCUAAUUUACAUUCCCAGUUAUCUUUGAAAUUAUCGGUCAGGCACUUUGUCUUAAUUCACCCUGCAUUUGUCUUACUUUCACCUGUUUUUCUUUGAUUCUAUUUUAUACUUAAAAUUCAUUGUAAAUUCAAUCCAAAAUACAUGUUGUACUAUGUAAUCUUCUACUUUCUAACAAAGUGUCACAUCUUUGGGUUCCUUUCUGUAUUAAAUCUUUCUAUAUAACAGAGUUCAUAGAAAUCUAUCACUGGAUGGCAUGUUUUACAAUGUUUAGGGUGUUAUGCUUAGCUACAGCCAGAUUCUUUGGCACAGGCCUCCACUGCCAGAAUAGUGUCCAGGGGCUUCAGAGCAGGUGAGAAUUAGAACUUUCACCUGGUUUUCAGUGGAAUAAUUGCAAACAGUUUGUGAUGGUUAUAAGGUAACAGUACUACCUUUGUAGUUAAGGCUGCAGCUGACCUCCUGUUCAAAGACCCCGUGGCUGAGAUGCGUCCAAAUUCCUUCAGAGAAAAAAAAAAAUGUUCUGUUCAUACAGUCUUUCUCCUACAUUCCUAACAUUAGGGGAAACAAGCUGGAAAAGACUUGGAAUGGUUGUAUCAUACAUGCCUCUGCCACAAAGCAGACCCAGCUAUACCAGUACCCAGGCCUUGAGUGAUGGGAUCCCACAGUUUUCCAUAGGUAAUAUCUUCUCAGGUAUAACUGCUGUAACCAAUAGAAAGUUUUUCCUAAAGUCUAAUCUGAAUCUCCCCUGUCGUAAUUUAAAUCUAUUCUUUUCAGCCUACUUCCAGUAG